rnacentral:lncRNA from 1 species
AUGUUGCCCAGGCUGGCCUUGAACUCCUGGGCCAGGCAGUCCUCCUGCCUUGGCCUCCUGAGUGGCUGGGACUACAGGGGUGCACCACCGCACCCAGCUUGGACCUUCAUUUCUAUGGACUACUCCACACCUACAUCUACAGAUACAGUCUCUGCGUUUACACAUCCUGCUUCAUUCCAAACCCAGCCAGCUCCACACAUUCAAAAGCUGGAAACAAUGCAUGCUGCGAAUGGCCCAUCUGAGGCAGGGUGGCUGGAACAGACUGAGGGAGGUACACGUCCACACGCCUCAUCUUACAUCACCCGAGGAUGCAGCCCUAGACAUUUGGACCUGUUAAUGUCUGGACCAGAGGCCAGCCUUCCUGUCUUUACCACCUUGGACCUGUCAUGGCUCUUCUGCAGGACUGAGCAGGACGAGGUCCCCUUCUCAGUAGGGAACUUACCUACUAAAAAAUGGGAAUUUACCUCUUGCAGGUCUCAACAUGGCCCCAUAUUUCAAUAAAACCCAGCAUGUGCCAAACUGCAAGUUACAGAAACUGAUAUAAGCCAGCCUGAGCAAGAAGGGGAGUUGGCUCAUGGAUGCUGGGUUCUUGCGUAGAAUCUAAGGGCUGUGGGGCUUCUCCAGGGCCUGGAAGCCAAGACAUAUGGAGUUCUGGAACCAGCAGGAACAGUCCCUGCCUCAUCUCUGAUCUCAGCAGCUCAUUCUUCUCUCCCUCCAGACCGGAUUUCUCUUCUCUGUCUACAUGAUGGAUGGAAGAUGGCUGCUCUGGACCUCCCAGGCCUAUGUCAUCUGAGCUCCAUCCAGCAAGAAUCCCAGACAGAAACAGCAGCUCUCACUCCUAG